rnacentral:lncRNA from 1 species
CUCGCUAAUGUCCACACCCUCUAAUAUUUUCUGAAGAUUGAUUUUACUUAGCUGAAUUUUGAGUACAAAUUUCCAAUGGUUUACUCUGUAGAAUGUUUUCACAGUUAUAACUAACUUGGUCUAAGAAUAUGAAAUUGUCUAUACUAGCUGACUUAGUUAUUUCUCCUCUGCUUUAGCUUUCAAAUCUGAUGUUUUAAAAGCAAUCUCUGAAUUUACUAUAUCUGACUAGCUGUACUGCAUCACAAUAUUACCUUCGGUGAAAUAUUACCUUCAACAUUGCCUUGAGUACACGUGCACCACGCAGGGCCGGUCCUAAGAUUUGGGGGCCCGGGGCGAAACUAAAACUUAGAGGCCCUUGACAGAAAUAUCAGAAUAUUAGGCUAUGAAGAAAGUACACACUAUGUGUGAUGCAAAGUCAUGUUUAAUGCUUGAAUUACACGUGUAGGAGUAUAUUAUUUCAGGUGUCAAAAGGGACAGAAGACUCCAAAAAUGGUCCAAAAAUAAUUUGCAUCCAAAAUACAUGGUUGCAUUCACAUUUUGAGUCCUUCCAAUGACUAUUGUAAGACUGUUACAGCAAACAUGAGUAUAUGAGGAUUUAGAUAGAUGAGAAAAUCAAUACGAGUGAUGUGGAAAUAUUUUGUCAUAUCUUCUAAACUUACCUUUGUAUCUUUAAAAAUCAAAUUAUAUAGUGCCGAGAUAGUGAAAAGUUACUCCCGCGAAGUUGUAGGGAUGAUUAAAUUAAUAAUUUGUUACCCAAUUGUGCUAUCAUUGCUGAGUUCAUCUAUAAACUCACCACUAUGAGCA